AUUGAACGCUGGCGGCGUGCUUAACACAUGCAAGUCGUGCGAGAAAGGGGACUUCGGUCCCUGAGUAGAGCGGCGCACGGGUGAGUAACGCGUGGAUUAUCUACCCAGACGUUCGGGAUAACGGCGGGAAACUGCCGCUAAUACCGGAUACGCUCCAUUUCGGUUGGGGAAAGGCGGCCUCUGCUUGCAAGCUGUCGCAUCUGGAUGAGUCCGCGUCCCAUUAGCUUGUUGGUGGGGUAAUGGCCUACCAAGGCUACGAUGGGUAGCUGGUCUGAGAGGAUGAUCAGCCACACUGGAACUGAAACACGGUCCAGACUCCUACGGGAGGCAGCAGUGGGGAAUA
rnacentral:rRNA from 1 species